UACGUAGGGGGCAAGCGUUGUCCGGAAUCAUUGGGCGUAAAGAGCGUGUAGGCGGCCUGAUAAGUCUGCUGUGAAAGUCCAGGGCUCAACCCUGGGAUGCCGGUGGAUACUGCUGGACUAGAGUGCGGAAGAGGCGAGUGGAAUUCCCGGUGUAGCGGUGAAAUGCGCAGAUAUCGGGAGGAACACCAAUUGCGAAGGCAGCUCGCUGGGACGUGACUGACGCUGAGACGCGAAAGCGUGGGGAGCAAACAGG
rnacentral:rRNA from 1 species